UGAUAUAGAUGCUGUGCUGCGAAUAUAUCUAUCGAAUACCAAGGAUACAUGGUACUGUUGGUGGGAACCUGGUGUUAUAAAGGUCUACUCAAUAAAGAGAGAACUGCAGGGAAUUGUGAUGGGAAUUUCAAACUUUAGAUUGAAAUAGUGCAGCUGAAUGGGAUAAUUUUUCCAGCUCUCUAAGGCUACUUUGGACUUAAGUUUAAAAUCCCCAUCUCAAUUCCCUGUAAUUCUCUCUUUAUUGAGUAGACCCUGUAAUCUGCACUAUAAAUAGGUGGGAAUUAAUUAUGAAGGUUUGACAUAGUGGGCUUUGCAGCAGUGGGUGUGGUUAAUUUUCAUGGUAGGAAUUGAUAGCGGUGCUGCAAAGUGUCCCUGGAAUUUUUUUUCAAAUGUCGACAACUAUGCAUUCGGCUCCACUCAGGAGCUGACGUUGAUGGAGGAGGAGAGGUCACCCGUGCUGAGAGAACCCGGCGCUGGAUUAAGGUAAGAAAAUAAAUGGUUAAUUAACCAUUUAUUCGCAGCGGAAGGGGCCCUAGUCUCCAUUUAGGUGACUAGGGCUCUAUAGCGUUAGGAGUAUAUAUUUGUAUUCCUAACGCUAUAGUGUUCCUUUAAGUGAGGGAAAUAAUUUUUAUAAUGACUGUUUUAAUUCUAUUCAUAAUGAUUUCCUUUAUGUUAAAAAAAAAAGGAAGUAAAUCUAAAUGAGUAUUACUGACUUUCUUUAAUCCCAUAAGGACACAUGACAUGUGUGACAUGUCAUGAUUCCCUUUUAUUCCAGAAGUUUGGUCCUUAAGGGGUUAAAUAAGACUUCUUUGCCAGAGUUCUAUUUUGGAAUCCACAAAGAAGUGAAAUACCCAGGUCUAUAAACGGCUAUCAUGUAUUUAUUUUUAUUUUUUUAAUUCUAUAACCCCCUUCAUGGAAUUAGUCAAAAAGGUAUUUACCCCACUCCCUCUAGCAUGUAAGCUCAUUGAGCAGGACCCUCAACCCCUCUGUUCCUGUGUGUCCAACUUGUCUGGUUACAACUACAUGUCUGUUCGUCCACCCAUUGUAAAGCGCUGCGGAAUUUGACUGCGCUCUAUAAAUAUCAUAAUAAUAAUAAUAAUAAUAAUAAGUUCUUACAGUGCCACCUAGUGUACAAACGCAGUAUGGGGACUUAUCAAAAGUGAAUAUCAGGCGACACAUGCUCCAUUACCAUGUCUUUUGUAACUAGACACUCCUAAUUGCCAUUUCAAGGCUCUUUUGAUGGACUUGUUAUGACCGAGAUGAGUAAUAUGCACCCACAGAGUAGUCUGCUGCUUACUAAACUAUACCUGUUGUGACGUUCAAUAUUUCCAAAGGAACUUUUUAUUCCACGGUUACAGAGAGAUAAACCUGUAAACUCGGACUUUGACAUAUGAAAUCUACACACAAGCCUGAUGGGCAUACAUCACGCAGACUAACUUCAUCCAGUGCUAAACACAUAGCACUGGCUAACACCGCUGCUCAGGCAAUUACUGCAGCAGGCAAUUUUUUGUUGAGUAGCAUCUUUUCAGUAACAGAUUCUGACCCAACAUGGUUGCCAAGACAGAUACAAAAAAAGGUGAAUUUGUAAAAACUAAAGAUAAAAAAAAAUCUAAAAUAAUAGUUUCACUAAAAUUACUAAACUAAAUCUGCCUUUACACCUUUAAGUAAACUAUUGAUAAUGCUAUACUUUAACACCUAAAUGAACCCAAGUAUAUCAUUCUAUAAUUAUAUUUAAGCAAAUUUUUUGAUAUACAGUGACAAUUUAUUGGCUGCAAUUAACU